ACAAAAAGGGCAACACAACUUCAAGAACACCAUAAAAAUCUCCUAAAAACAAUGGAGAUUGAUACAAAACCUUAAAUAAAUUUAUCCUAGACUAUAAUCUAUCUAUGAAAAUUAGAAAAAAUAAACAAAUCUGCUCAGAUCUGAGCAGCAAGCUUUAAUGGUGGAGGAAGACUUUUUUUGGUUUUGAGAAGGAGCUAGAGAGGAGAGAAAGUUUUUUUUCUUUUUCUCUGCUGCUUCUACGAAUAGUCUAAAUUAAUUGCACAUAGUAGUAGUCCAUCUAAAAAGUAUUUACAAAAUCACUCCACUAGACUCGGCCUCAGAAGGGUAUUGUUUCAGAUGAAUUAGGGAAUAAAAACUUAGUCAUUCACUUCCAAAAUCCAAGAGGUGAAGCUACGAUUUAAUGGGACUGGAUUAGAUGUUGUUCGAGAGAGAGGAGAAAAACCAGAACCGACCAAAACCUAGGGGAUAUGUUUCUUAGAAACAAAUCGGCGGAAUUUUUUAGGGGAUAUGCAAAUUCAAUAAAGAAGACAAGUUAUUUCCAUCACCCACCUGCAGACGUUGGUGAUAUGAAUUUUAGUUGGUUUCCAUCAGAUCUACUGCAACAUUAGGAGAUCUAAUUAAUGAGUUUUUGGAUGCGGAAGUAAAGCUUGGUCUCAUCAACAUCUCAGGCAUCUUCUCUGACUAUCUCUUGUUGCUGAAGAUAAGUAACCUAAUUCAUGGAAUCGAUUUAUGAUUUGUAAUUUUUGCUUUUCAAUUCACCCCUACUUUUUGAAUCUGAUUUUUUGUGUUUAGGUAUUAUCGUGACCCUAACUAGCUAUAUCUAGAGUUUAUCUUGAAAAAUGUUUCUUAUCCCUGGUCAUAAAACAAUAAUUCAAUCAAUAACCAUAGUACUUCGGUUUCAAAUUUCUCCUUGGAUCUAUCUGUUUGUGACUUUUAUUUAGAAAAUCAAACCCUAACUUUCUCCAAGGAAUUCUUAUUUUAGUUUUCCUUUCAUCUUGUGUUGUGCUUCUUUUGAUCCUUUGUUGUUUCCUAAUUUUAAUAAAACCUCUGCAAUAGUUCUUUCUUCAUGUAGCUUUUCAGCUGUGUCUCUUAGUAUCACCAUGUUUAGCUGCUUGGCAUGGUGAUGGUUAUAGGUGAUCAACCAGCCUCAUUGAUAAUUUCCUCUUUUACUUGUAUCUUCUGCAAAAUUUAUUUCUUCCUGUACUUUUCAGUUGGGUUUCUGUAUCACCAUAUUCCUUUGUUUGACAUGAUGAUGGGUUAAAAUUAAUCUCUUUCCCAUUGAAAAUUCAAGGAGUUUAUCACAUUUUAUAUUUGUUAACAAAGUCUGAGGUUUUAAUUUAAGUUUGCAACAUGAGCCUGGGUUGCAUAGGUUUUUUCUUGGCUCUUGAGAGUUUUUUGGAGAAUUUCAACUUAAAAGAGUGAGUUUUUUUUUAUGAUUUUCUAACCUGAGUCCCAACAGAAAUUUUCAUUUCUCAUACCCAUCUCUUUUUUUCCUGCAAGGUUGUACUGUGAGAGCUUAGUUUUCUUUGGUUAAUUUGGAAAAAUCCUUUGUCUUUUUUAAAUAUCUUGUUUGACAUUCAGAUGCUCGUGUUUCAAUCUAUAUCAAAUCCUUUAUCAGUCAUUGUAGACCAAUCAAUUUCAGGUUCAGAUCUUGUUGGGUCUAGUACACUGGGUGAAUUUUGAAUUUCAUAACUUCCAUGUGUUGUUGUUUUAUCAAUUUCAGAUGUCUUUGAUACAAGAACAGGGAUGGACAAGGCUUGAAUUGAUCUCAAACGGACAUUGUCGUUGCAGAUCCUUAGAUUUGAUUUCCCUAGCAUUACUGAAGAGUAGGUUAUCCCCAAAAAAGCAGUAAAUUACAUUCAUGUGAACAUAUGUAUAUCAAAUUGCCAUCAGAGCCUAUGAGCUCUCCUUUCUGGUUUGCAUUUUCGUAUUUUCUUGUGAUUUUCGCUUCAUAGUCAUAUUUUUUUGCACCUAGUUUUGUCCAGUUGAUUUUUGGAAUUUAGUCCUUGCAAGAUUAAUCCCGUCAUCUUCAAUUCUUAUAAUAUUAUUUUUUGUAA